AACGAACGCUGGCGGCAGGCCUAACACAUGCAAGUCGAACGAACCCUUCGGGGUUAGUGGCGGACGGGUGAGUAACACGUGGGAACGUGCCUUUAGGUUCGGAAUAACUCAGGGAAACUUGUGCUAAUACCGAAUGUGCCCUUCGGGGGAAAGAUUUAUCGCCUUUAGAGCGGCCCGCGUCUGAUUAGCUAGUUGGUGGGGUAAUGGCUCACCAAGGCUACGAUCAGUAGCUGGUCUGAGAGGAUGACCAGCCACAUUGGGACUGAGACACGGCCCAAACUCCUACGGGAGGCAGCAGUGGGGAAUCUUGCGCAAUGGGAGAAAGCCUGACGCAGCCAUGCCGCGUGGAUGAUGAAGGUCUUAGGAUUGUAAAAUCCUUUCACCGGUGAAGAUAAUGACUGUAGCCGGAGAAGAAGCCCCGGCUAACUUCGUGCCAGCAGCCGCCGUAAAAC
rnacentral:rRNA from 1 species